AGGGGCGUCGUUCAGUGGUAGGACCGGAGUCUCCAAAACUCCUGACGAGGGUUCGAUUCCUUCCGCCCCUGCAA
rnacentral:tRNA from 5 species